rnacentral:rRNA from 1 species
GACGAACGCUGGCGGCGUGCCUAAUACAUGCAAGUAGAACGCUGAAGAGAGGAGCUUGCUCUUCUUGGAUGAGUUGCGAACGGGUGAGUAACGCGUAGGUAACCUGCCUUGUAGCGGGGGAUAACUAUUGGAAACGAUAGCUAAUACCGCAUAACAAUGGAUGACACAUGUCAUUUAUUUGAAAGGGGCAAUUGCUCCACUACAAGAUGGACCUGCGUUGUAUUAGCUAGUAGGUGAGGUAAUGGCUCACCUAGGCGACGAUACAUAGCCGACCUGAGAGGGUGAUCGGCCACACUGGGACUGAGACAGGGCCCAGACGCCUACGGGAGGCAGCAGUAGGGAAUCUUCGGCAAUGGGGGCAACCCUGACCGAGCAACGCCGCGUGAGUGAAGAAGGUUGUCGGAUCGUAAAGCUCUGUUGUAAGUCAAGAACGGGUGUGAGAGUGGAAAGUUCACACUGUGACGGUAGCUGACCAGAAAGGGACGGCUAACUACGUG